AUUGAACGCUGGCGGCAGGCCUAACACAUGCAAGUCGAGCGAGCGGCGGACGGGUGAGUAAUGCCUGGGAAUUGCACAGUCGAGGGGGAUAACAGUUGGAAACGACUGCUAAUACCGCAUACGAUUUGAUUGCACAGGUGGGAUUGGAUAGUUGGUGGGGUAAUGGCUCACCAAGGCCACGGUCCCUAGCUGGUCUGAGAGGUUGAUCAGCCACACUGGAACUGAGACACGGUCCAGACUCCUACGGGAGGCAGCAGUGGGGAAUAUUGGACAAUGGGGGAAACCCUGAUGCAGCAAUGCCGCGUGUGUGAAGAAGGCCUUCGGGUUGUAAAGCACUUUCAGCGAGGAGGCGUUACUCGCAGAGGAAGCACCGGCUAACUCCGUGCCAGCAGCCGCGGUAAUAC
rnacentral:rRNA from 1 species